rnacentral:tRNA from 2 species
GUCAGUACAGUUUUAGCCAAAAUAUUAGAUUGUGAUUCUAAAGAUAGGAGUUAAAACCUCCUUACUCACC